rnacentral:lncRNA from 1 species
GGAAAGGAAUCCUAGAUAAUCCAUUUUCAGAAUUUUCAUAAAAGCUGGAACUGUUCAACAUAUAAUUGGGGCUAAGCGACGUUUUUGUCAUAUAAUAGGAAGUUUACUUAUAUUCAGAUUCCAACAUAAUAAUAUAUGAAAAGAAUAGGAAAAAAAGGAGAUUUGAAAAGUGAUGAAAAAAUCAGUACCAUAAUUUGAAUCCUAGUAUUAUAAUAUAUGAUUUAAAACUUGUGAUAAGGAUUACUAUGGAACUCUAAUUCCCGUGUUCCGCAAACCUGGUACCAUCAUUUCAAAUCGUGCUAUGAGAACAAAAUGUCUUGUGCACUCUACCAUAAAUCAUGUUCUGCCGUCCGCUUCCGCGUACCCAUUUCCAUUACGCGCUCACAGUCGACAAGCAUUCCUGGUAACCAUGCUUGUGAUAUUAAUGAUAGCUAGAAAUAAUUCAUUGAGAAAAGAUAAAUGGUUACUGAGAAGUGAAUACUAAAUGAAGGUAUGUAAAUAAAACAUGAACUAUCACUACAACUUUAUUGUUUUGUCACUUCAAAAUUUAGUUUGGAGUAUAGACACUUGUGCUAUUUGAAUAUAAUACAUAGCUCCAGCAACAACUAGACCAUUAAGAAAAAUAUAGUCAACACUGCUCUUGCCAGUAAGACAUAGAGAAAGAAACUGAGAGGAAUUAAAAGAAGAAGAAUAAAAGGUGUCCACUUCAACUUUUACCCUCAUAUAAUAAAGAAUAUGUAAUAGUUAAGAAUAGGGGUUGAUUAUAACAUUACUAUUUGGUGAUUUAUUUGCUUAUAAUAUCAUGCUAGUAAUCAAGAAGGCCGUGUCUAACAAGGGAUAACAUUUCUAGCUUUGUUUACCAAAUAUCAAGCACUUUUCCUUAUUGUCUACAACUCAAAUCUAUUUGCGAAUCAGACAUAAUCUUGUUUCUUAGUUUCCAUUAAUAAUAUAAAAGUAUAACGCAAGUGUUCCCAACUUGCUCUUAGUUUUGGCAACCACAAAAAUUACAAGGAAAGACAUACAAAACAGAACUCGUAAUCUUUGUCCCACAUCGACAACAUGUUUAGCUCAUAACCUCCUUAUAAGCAUAGAUCCAUAAUCCUAAACUAAGUGGUUGGUUAGGCCGGCUGCCACGUUCCACUUUCGAAAAAUCACACGAAAAAAAAUACAGAGAAAAUCCAAAAACGUCGACUUACCCAACCACUUUUUGGAAUAAAGUAAAAUAGUCUGAACCCUCUGAAGAUCUAAAUAACAACCCACCCACCCUCGCUGUCCCGCCCUCUCCUCCCAAUCCUUAACCAAGAAAAAUAAUUUUUUCCUCAUAACAACUGAAAAGACAGACUACAACCUCUGAAAUUAAAUCUGAAUAACCUCGUUUCAUGCUUAUAAUAAAUGCUAAAACUUUUUAACUCAUAAUUAGGGCUAAAUGAUACAAAAGAUUAUACACAUCUGUAUACUGUCGAUUAUAUAAGUUUACUUGCAAUCAACAAAAACAACUAGAUCAUUGAGAAAUGUAUACCCCACUUAGCAUUAAUUAGAGGUAUAGAGAGAAAUUCAAACAAGAAGAAUAAAAGGCGGCCACUUCAUCUUUUACCCUCAUACAAUAAACAAAAUUUAGUGCUUAAGAACAACGGUUCAUCAUUAUUUGGUAAUUUAUUUUCAUAUAAUUAUCAUGCUACUAUGCUAGUGAUCAAGAAGGUUAUGUUGUAUAAGUGGUAAACAAACACCAAAUACUUUUCUUUAUGGUUUGCAACUCAAAUCUAUUUAAGAAUCACACAUAGUCUUGUUUCUUAGUUUCCAUAAAUACUAUAAUAGCUAUAACACGAGUGUUCCUCAACAUACUUCUAUUUUUCGCAACCCCAAGAAUGUACAUGAGAACUCCCCUACUCUUUGUCCCACGUUGACAACAAAUUUGCUCAUAAACCUCCUUAUAAGCAUAGAUCUGUAAUCCUAAGCUGAGUGGUUGGUUAGGCCGUCUGCCACGUUCCACAUCCAAAAAACUGGUGGCUGCCACCAUCGAAUAGAAAAAAUAGAAAAUUCCAAAAACGGCGACUUACCCAACCACUUUUUGAAAAAAUAAAAUAGGAGAAGAAUAUUAAACAAGUAUAUUCCUAAUUCAAAUAUAUGUAGGUAUUCUUGCAUAAUCUUUUUGAUUAAAAGAGAAAAUUUUAGCAGGAAAUAUAGAUGAUACAAGAAACUAAGCUGAGAAACCAUCUUAGAAUUAUGAAACGUAUCUCUUUAUUUACCAAAACUAACUAUCAAAGAAAUCCUCGUAAAACCCAAAAUUGGAGAAAUAUUAAGAGUGAAAGAAAGGACGAACAUUUAUAAUUAUAUAAAACACAACCCCUUCCCUCAACGUCUUAAAAAAAAUUGCACUUCACAUCACUCAUCAAGAAAAUUAUUUCUCUCCAAAACAACUGCAAAGUCAAGCUACAACUACAGUGUUUUUCCUCGACGAUAAAUUCUUCUAUGGAUUUGGCUAUGAUUCAUCGAUUGAUGACUACAAAGUUGUCCGAGCCCACAAGUAGAGACUCUUGAUGAAACCAAAGUUGAGGUAUUUAAUCUGAAAGAUAACUCUUGGAGAUUAAUGGAAGGAUUCGAUAAUCAAAUAGGAAUUAAACAAGAGGCUGGAAUCUCUUCAUUAGCAAGGAAGUCGAAUUGGUACAGAUUCUACUAAACAUAAGGUCAUUGUUUUUCUUGAUUUGGCAACUGAGAAAUUCGGAGAAUUCUCAAAGCCUAAUCUUGAUGAUAAGAAUGUUGUAGAAUUUCGUACUUUAUCGAACUUGGGAGAAUGCAUUUCUUUACUUUGCUAUGGCAAUCGGGGCGCUAAUGUUGAGGUAUGGAUAAUGAAAGAAUAUGGGUUGAUGCAUCUUCGAGUAAGUUGAUAAUCUCGAGACGGAUUGAGUUCGAGUACAUCUAUUACUUGAUACCAGUUUAUUUUAUCAAGAAUGGUGAACUUAUAGUUGAUGUUGAUGGAAAUAAACUAGUAAGGUAUGAUCCUAAGGAAAAUACAUAUAGGAACUCAAGUAUCCAUGUGAAGAUUGGGACCGGACUGAAUACGUAGAGAGUUUAAUCUCUCCCAUGGCUAACAAUUGAGAGAUUAAUUGAAGGAAAGAAUGAUAGGAAACUCUCAGGGGAACUAAAGUGUUAUAUUUUGUAAUUCUAAUUCAACAGCAGCCAAUUAUUCUAAGUUAUAACAUUAGCUACUUUACUACUUCAUACACUACAUAAUGAAAGAAUCCAACUAAAGAUUUAAGAGAAUAACAAUAUGGUAAAAUCCAACAAAAUACUUGUAAGAACUACAAAGUUUCCCCAUUCCUACAAGGAAAUUGCCUAAACCAACAAUGUACAACUCAAGUUUCCAACAACUUAUGAACCUUUUCAAAAGUAAAUGAUAUACUCAACUACAUAUAAAUAACAUUUGCUUAUUUGGCUCGUACGAAGAGCACCCUUCAGAAGAUACAGAUACAUAGACAAUUCGUACCCUUUAGAAGAUACAUAGACAAUUCCACAAUAAUAACUAGAAUUACUUAUUUGACAAAUAAAAGUAUAGUACGCUGCACACUUUAGGUCCUUCAAGAAGAUAAUGUCAAAUAAGUAGUAAACGAGCAUCAAAUACUUUACCUUAUGGUUUGCAACUCAAAUCUAUUUAAGAAUCACACAUAGUCUUGUUUCUUAAUUUCCAUAAAUACUAUAAUAGCAUAACACAACUACACAAGUGUUCCUCAAACAUACUCCUACUUUUCACAACCGCAAGAGUGUACAUGAAAAGAUGUUCAACAUAGAACUCCCUUACUCUUUGUCCCACAUCAACAACAUAUCUGCUCAUAAAUCUCCUUAUAAGCAUAGAUCCAUAAUCCUAAGCUGAGUGGUUGGUUAGGUCGUCUGCCACGUUCCACAUCCAAAAAAACUGGUGGCCGCCACCAUCGAACGAAAAAAAAAUAGAAAAUUCCAAAAAGGCGACUUACCCAACCAAUUUUUGAAGGAAAAAAAACUAGGAGAAGAAUAUUAAACCAGUAUAUUCCAAAUUCAAAUCUUUGUAGAUAUUCUUGCAUAAUCUUUUUGAUUAAAAGAAGAAAAAUUUAGCCAGAAAAAUAGAUGAUAAAAGAAACUAAGCUGAGAAAUCAUCUUAGAAUUAUGAAACGUAUCUCUUUAUUUUACCAAAACUAACUAUCAAAUAAAUCCUCGUAAAACCCAAUAUUGGAGAAAUAUUAAGAGUGUACCAAAGGACAAACGUCUAUAAUGUUAUGAAACACAACCCCCUCCCUCAAUCUCUUAAAAAAAUUGCAAUUCACAUCAUUCAUCAAGAAAAGUAUUUUCUCCAUAACAACUGCAAAGGCAAACAACAACCAUAAAAAACAAAUCACACAUACCUUGUUUCAUGAAUUUUAUAAAUGUUAUAACUGUUUAAUAUAUAAUUGGGGCUACGGGAAAUAAAAGACUACAAACAUCAGCAUACCGUGGUACAAUGCUUUUGUCAAAUAAUAUGGAAGUUCACUUGCAAUCACAUUUCAACACAAUGAUAUUCGAAAAGUGAAAAAUCCAUUUCCAUAACUUGAAUCCUGAUAAAAAGAACAAGAAGAAAAAUAAGAGAAAGGUGGUCGCUUCAUCUUUUACCCUUGUAUAAUAAAAAAACAUAGUAGUUCAGAACACAGGUUGAUUAUAAAUUUGCUAAUUUAUUUGCAUAUACUAAUAUUGUCAUGCGAGUAAUCAAUAAGUUAUGUCAAACAAGUAAUAACAUUGUUAGAUUCAUUUACCAACAUCGUGUACUUUUCCUUAAUGUUUCCUACUCUGAUCUUUAUAAGAAUAAGACGUAAUCUUAUCUCUUAGUUACUAUGAUGGUAUAACACAUGUAUUCCUCAAACUUGCUCUUACUUUAGCAACCAAAUUAAUGUUAAAUGAAAAGAUGUACAAAACCAAACUCCCUUUCUCUUUGUUCUUCAUCGACAACGUAAUAGCUCAUAAACCUCCUUAUGAGUAUAAACCCAUAGUCCUAAGCUUAGCAGUUGGUUAACCAUUUUCCACGUUCCACAUUCUAGAAACCUGGUGGCUGCUACCGUCAAAUGAAAAAUAAAUAAAUAAAUAGUUAAAAAGCGCAAAGUCCACCUACUAACCUAACCACUUUUCAAAAGUACAAUUAGGGUGACUAUUUGACUAGCAUAUAUAGUUGUCAUGCUCAUAACCAAGUGUGAUGAUAUAUUGCCAAAUAAUUAGAUCAUUAGCAUCAUUUACUCACAACAGGUAUAUUUAUUGUUCCCAAAUUGUUAUUUAGCUAAUCAUUUGUUUGUAUUUAAUGUAUAUCUUUUAAUUAUUGUAGUAGGUUAUUUUAGAUUAGCAUUAGGAGUUGUUUCCUUAUUAAAUUAGGUUAUUUAAAUUUUAGUAUAAUUAGGGUCAGUAGUCUACAUAAAGUGAUGUAAUUUAUUGUUAAAAGACAGAAUUUAGUAUACUGAUUGAUUUGAGAUUGGCUUUCGCCUUUGGGCCUUAUUGUUCUUCCUUUUUUCCCUUAUUUCUACUCAUUUACCCAAUCCAAAAACCCUUCUCAUCCUACAUCAAAGCUUUCCCUAAUAAGUUAAUGAAAAUAAAAACACUGCUCAUAUUCUCUAUGUGCAUGGAUUUGUGGAGUGACAAUUUCAUUUUUACCUUCUUUCACAUAUCCAUUUGUUCUAAAUUAUAGGACCAAUAUUGACUUUUCGAAGUCAAUUUGAGAUAUUUUCAUAUUCAAACUUGAUAUGAAUUCUUAUAUUUUUAGAAAACACAAUUAUAAAAGGGAAAAUGAUAUUUACACGUGUUUUUGUUAGUUCCGCAGGUCCCCCUCUCACAUGAAAGUGGGACCCACACCAUUCUAAUGUGAGAAGAGACCAUGUGAAACCAACAAAAGUACAUGUAAAAAUAGUUUGCUCCCCUGUUAAAAUUGUAUACUAUGUAAAAACUGCUAGUAAUUACAACAUUUAGUAUUUUCAAAAGUAAAAUGAAUUACAACAAUUUGAAUUUGAAAAUAUCUCGUAUUGACUUUAAACUUGAUUUUAUAUUUUGGAGUGGAAGGAAUAUAUUUUUUGUGUUUAUCACGCAGCCACGAACAUAUGGUUCAAUUCAAUCAACCCAAAAUCUUAUAUUCUACAUACUAUUUAUCUUCUACUUGAGUUGCUCUCAAAUCAUACUAAUUAGCUCCACCAAGUGAGGUAAAAUUUUAUAAUCUGUAAGAUGAAAAAAAUUCUAGGAAAUGGAAUGGAAAAGGAAAUUAGGGUUUAGUUUCUUCACAUAAUUUGUAAAUUGAAAAAAAAAAAUCCUUAAUGACAGUCGUACCCUAACCAGUCGACAAACAAGCACAAUUGAGAAAGAAACAAUGGCAACAGACUGCUACAAUAAACAACAAGAUUUCAAUUUGCAAAAUGGGAAAUGUGAGAAAUUCAAUAUAUAAAUUAUGACGCAUCUGAUAAUAAGUAUUUGAUACAAGGAUUGUUAAUUUCGGUAUCAUAUAUAUAUAUAUAUAUAUACAAGCACUUAUUGCUACAAACUAUAAAAUGAAGUUUAUACGAGUAUUUUUAUACCUUGAUGGCGGUAAAUGAGAAGUCCAGCCAGUGGAGGGGAAGAAACAUGGUCUAGCCAUUAGAUGGGAAGAAGAGAUUCCGACGUCUGUGGUGUACAGGUGUUGUUUCCUUCUCAUGUGCCUUAAUUCAUCUUAACAUCGUAAUGCAUGAUGCACAUUUUU